UACAUACUCUCUCCGUCCAGAAAUACUUGUCAUCAAAAUGGAUAAAAGGGGAUGUAUCUAGAUGUAUUUUAGUUCUAGAUACAUCUCUUUUUAUCCAUUUUGAUGACAAGUAUUUUUGGACGGAGGGAGUAUAUU
rnacentral:pre_miRNA from 1 species